rnacentral:tRNA from 1 species
GGCCUUUGGCAUAGAGGGUAAAGCAUCUGCCUGCAAUGCAGGAGACCUGGGUUCAAUCCCUGGGUCG